rnacentral:lncRNA from 1 species
AAAGAGACAGCGAAUGAAGAUGUGUUAUGCACCUGUGCCCUCACCCCAAGAUGGAGUCAACUCCAAGAACCAGAGCUUGCUGACCGUGUCAUGCUGUGACCUCAAGCAGCCGAUGUUCAUGGGGUUCACCAGGAGCUGAAAGAGACCUGAGGGCCCGGGUGAAGCUGAAGGUUUACAGCUCGGCCCAGCUGCGUCCAGCCGCUGCCCACCCAACCUUCUGCUUCCCCACUCACCUAUGGCCAGGAGCCCCCCAGUGCCAGCCCCCAGCAGGAAGGCAGCGACAGGGAACUGGCCUGGCUGGCGCCACAGGAACCGGCAGCAGGGCUCCGGCAGCCCCCAGCUCAGCAGCGCCUGCAGAGCUGAAAGGGGAUGGUUGAGCUCUCAGCCCGCCCUCUGCCUAGGGUGGGCUCACCAGGCUUAGGGAC